UACGGAGGGGGCAAGCGUUAUUCGGAAUCAUUGGGCGUAAAGGGCGCGUAGGCGGCCUGGCAAGUCAAAGGUGAAAUCCCUCGGCCCAACCGAGGAACUGCCUUUGAAACUGCAAGGCUUGAGGCCGGGAGAGGGUAGCGGAAUUCCCGGUGUAGCGGUGAAAUGCGUAGAUAUUGGGAGGAACACCAGUGGCGAAGGCGGCUACCUGGACCGGUUCUGACGCUGAGGCGCGAAAGCGUGGGGAGCAAACAGG
rnacentral:rRNA from 1 species